rnacentral:rRNA from 1 species
UGGGGAAUAUUGGACAAUGGGGGCAACCCUGAUCCAGCGAUGCCGCGUGUGCGAAGAAGGCCUGCGGGUUGUAAAGCACUUUGGUGGGGGAAGAAAGGCUUGUGUUUAAGAGAUGCAAGAGAUGACGUUACCCCAAGAACAAGCACCGGCUAACUCUGUGCCAGCAGCCGCGGUAAUACAGAGGGUGCAAGCGUUAAUCGGAAUUACUGGGCGUAAAGGGCGCGUAGGCGGCGUAUUAAGUUAGAUGUGAAAUUCCUGGGCUUAACCUAGGGCUUGCAUUUAAGACUGGAAUGCUAGAGUAGUGUAGAGGGGAGUGGAAUUUCCGGUGUAGCGGUGAAAUGCGUAGAUAUCGGAAAGAACAUCAGUGGCGAAGGCGGCUUCCUGGACACAUACUGACGCUGAGGCGCGAAAGCAUGGGUAGCAAACAGGAUUAGAUACCCGUGUAGUCC